AUUGAACGCUGGCGGCAUGCCUUACACAUGCAAGUCGAACGGCAGCACGGGUGCUUGCACCUGGUGGCGAGUGGCGAACGGGUGAGUAAUACAUCGGAACAUGUCCUGUAGUGGGGGAUAGCCCGGCGAAAGCCGGAUUAAUACCGCAUACGAUCUACGGAUGAAAGCGGGGGACCUUCGGGCCUCGCGCUAUAGGGUUGGCCGAUGGCUGAUUAGCUAGUUGGUGGGGUAAAGGCCUACCAAGGCGACGAUCAGUAGCUGGUCUGAGAGGACGACCAGCCACACUGGGGGUGAGACACGGCCCAGACGCCUACGGGAGGCAGCAGUGGGGAAUGUUGGACAAUGGGCGAAAGCCUGAUCCAGCAAUGCCGCGUGUGUGAAGAAGGCCUUCGGGUUGUAAAGCACUUUUGUCCGGAAAGAAAUCCUUGGACCUAAGACGGUCGGGGGAUGACGGUACCGGAAGAAUAAGCACCGGCUAACUACGUG
rnacentral:rRNA from 1 species